AGUGAACGCUGGCGGUAGGCCUAACACAUGCAAGUCGAACGGCAGCACAGAGGAGCUUGCUCCUUGGGUGGCGAGUGGCGGACGGGUGAGGAAUACAUCGGACUCUACUUUUUCGUGGGGGAUAACGUAGGGAAACUUACGCUAAUACAGCAUACGACCUACGGGUGAAAGCAGGGGCACUUCGGACCUUGCGCGAUUGAAUGAGCCGAUGGCGGUUUAGCUAGUUGGCGGGGUAAAGGCCAACCAAGGCGCCGAUCCGUAGCUGGUCUGAGAGGAUGAUCAGCCACACUGGAACUGAGACACGGUCCAGACUCCUACGGGAGGCAGCAGUGGGGAAUAUUGGACAAUGGGCGCAAGCCUGAUCCAGCCAUACCGCGUGGGUGAAGAAGGCCUUCGGGUUGUAAAGCCCUUUUGUUGGGAAAGAAAUCCAGCCGGCUAAUACCUGGUUGGGAUGACGGUACCCAAAGAAUAAGCACCGGCUAACUUCGUGCCAGCAGCCGCCGUAA
rnacentral:rRNA from 1 species